AACAUUUGACGGAGAAGGCAAUAUGAACGCAGCAGUGGUGAACGGUUGGGUUCAUACUUUCAGUGAUUGAGAGAGCACCCAAGCAAGCGAGUAGCUUCCACUCUCUCCAAUUACAAUUUCAACUCCACUCUUUUUCUUUCUUCUUCUUAUUAUUACUAUUACCCUUUUCCAUUUCCCCCUUCAUUUCCCCCUUCAAAUUUAGGGUUUCCAAUUCCAACAAUCUAGGGUUUUCAUGUUCUUCGAAUCUCAAUUUUUCAUGUCUUAUGAAUCGAUAUGUUCUCUCUUUUCUCCGAACCCUUCCUCCUCGCCGUCACACUAACCGCCCUCUGUUUCUUCCUCGCGCUCUUCUCUCUCUUCCGACCGUUUUCCUUUCGGUUUUCAUUCACCAGAUUCACGCCGCCGUUCAACCACUGCAACUGCGCUUCCUCCGAUUCUCAAGAUUCUGUGCCUUACUUGAACGGAACUGUUGCGGAGAUGAUGGAGAUCAGUCCUUCUCCUGCGCCGGUUGUGUUGCCUGAUCGUCGCAGUGGUUCUUCUAUGAUGGAGGAGCUUGUUCCCGAGAUUACUACGCACGCGCUUAGUUAUUUGGAUUAUCCGAGUUUGUGUCGGCUUUCCAUGACUAAUUCUUUGAUGCGGAAGGCUGCUAAUGACGAUAAUGCCUGGAAAGCACUCUAUCACAAGGACUUCACAUUGGAACAAAGUAGCGUCACACCAAGAAAUGGGUGGAAGGCAUACUAUGCUGCUACAAGAGCAAUUGUGAUUGUUAAUACAGAAUUUUUCAAUAUCGUAAGAGACAAGUCCAUUCCGGCAAUGCGUCGGUUUUGGCUGAAUGCAGAUUACGUGAAAUGCAUCCAUGCCUCAGGAGAACUUUUUUCGGGGUAUAAUGGAGUAAUGCGGGGCUGGCAACUCGUUUUCAACUGGGAGCAAGGAUUGAACUUUCAGGUUCGGGAUGUACGAGCUCGGGUCUUGAGUGACAUGGCUUGGGUUACCAUGAAAACAUACGUUGACAUGGAUACAGGGCCAUUCAACGUAACCAACGUGUUUGAGUUCCAUAAUGGUCGGUGGUAUAUGGUUCAUCACCACAGUUCUGUGAUGAAUGGGGAUGUAGAGCAACAAAUUAUGCAUGGAUAAUAAUAGUAAGAGAGAUGAUAUGUUAUUAUGUCUGAUACUGGUUUCAGAAAAGGAAAUUGCAAUGGGGCUACCAAAGAUUUAAAAAUAGAGUAAAUGGAUUAGUAAACACAAAAGAUCGAUGGAAAAGAUUCUCCGUGAAUCAAAGUCGGAUACCGAUGGCGAGACUUGUGAAAAACCAAGACUGCAAUUGCGGGAGCUAAUGCAAAAGCAUACUCCAAUUUGGGCGUGCAUUUUAGUAGGAUGUACAUUUUUUGCUGAGAGAUUUUUCCAAACUUGUGCUAACAAAUGAUGAUUUUGUUGUAGAACGCUCUUCGCUCAUCAAAUUUUAGAAGUCAAAAUGUUGUUAUUUCAAAUAGUAAAUUUUCACUUA